AGUCAGAGAAGCUGCACCGCCGCCAGCGGCGACGAACUGAAACAAACACCGGGAAAAGCUCUUUCGUCCGCUCGAUUUUAGCACCCCAUUGACCUCCCUGCGUCCAGAUGCGCCCCCUCGAGGUGGAUAAACAUCUCCGCUUCCUAUCCCCUGUUUCUCGCGCCUUACCUCGCCCGCAGGCCCGCGAAUUUGCUGUGUCGAUCCGUCGGCCGCCGCCACCAAAUUCGCAGUGGCCGCUCGCCCUCUGGCCUAUAAAAGACCCUCGUGGCUUCCCCUUGACCUCCACCACAUUUCUCCUCACAGUGCCACCUCCGUUCGGGCUCCAGAAAGUCCGAAUUUCGUGACCGAAGUCCGCCGCCGUCCGCAACUCCGGCGACGAUUCCGACGCCGGUGAAGCUCGGAGCAUCCAGGACAACAGGAGCACGCCGGCGCUGCGGACGUCGCUCUCGUCGCUGUCCAACCUCGCCGGGACCAGCUGACCGCCGGUGGAAUUCCAUCACGUCUACCAGCAUCGCCUCCAAGCCUCGCCCAAACCAUCCGACGUUUGUAGCUCCGUCUUGGUCCACGACCGGAGUUGCAAAAUCCAUCGUCGGCCACACAUCAUUACGAAGAUUUAUCGUGAGAGUGUCUCGGCGACAAUAGAGAAGUAAUACUUCACAAAUCAAAAGACAAGUUACAUCUACAUGUCUGUCCCAUUUAUUUUUCUAUGCUAUUUUGGUUAUGAAAGUAGGAAUGCAUGUGAUAAUUUUAUUUUGUGAGCCAAGUAUUUUUAGAAAUGGCGAUGUUUUACAUAGUUAUGUCCUAUGGUAGAAAUAAGCCGUAGGAAUUAUCACCCACUUUGUAACCUUAGGUAAAUAUAUGCUAGAUUAAGUUUUAGUAAAGUUUUGAACUAUAUAGUUAUGCUUAGUCAUGCUAGAAUAAAAUCCGUUGGGGGGUUCAAAUGAAAUAAUGUUUACGAAAUAGAAAUGGUUUGUGAAAUGUGUUUACCAAAUUAAAAUGUAAAAUUAUUUCAUCCUGGGAAUUAUCCCAGGGACCCCUAAAAGAACAAAUUCAUGUUUAGAAUUGCCCAGAAUCACAUGUCAUAUGGGCUCUGGCUUGGUUGAUUAUCUUGUGGAAACCUACUUAAGGACCGUCGUCGGUAUGAGACUUUGUGUCUAUUUUGGAACGGACGUGCCUGGAAAUAAGUAGUUAGCCAUUUAGGAAAGACCUCGGCAUAGCCUUCGGGUUGUGCCAUGUGGUGAAAGUGUGCAACCCCUCCAGUGUGUAGAACUAAUCGAUUAGCCAUGCCCACGGUUAAUGGCGAAGCUGAGUGAACUUUACUUGAAAACGUCUCUUCUCAAGUUUGUCUUUCUAAACAUAAAUUGAAUUUCAAACCCUAUGUCCGUGUGUCGUUCAUAGGUGGGAUUUUGGGGAAAGCCCUGUGUUCGUGUGUCGCUCACGGGUACUUUCAUCUAGGCUAGUUGGACCGUGUGACCUCUACUCAUAUAUUACUUGAUAAAAUUGUUUAUUAAAGAUAUGACGAGUUAGAACUUUGGAAAUGUUAAAAUGUGGUUUAUUAAUGCAAAAUAUUGUUUUGCGCAAAUGUUAAACCCUAUAGCCAUUUCCUUUGAUAUCCCUAAGCAUGUAUAAAUAGGUAUAUUAUUGCAUUGGUGUAACUUGCCACACAUUCAAAGUGUUGACCACUCUCGUGGCUGCAAUGUUUUAUGUUGCAAGUUGUUCCGAUGACGAGUGAGAUACAAUGUUAGGGUCACGAUGCUCCAGUCGAUUGCCUGUGGCACAUUUGCUGGAUUCGCCACUUUAUUUGUCUUCCACUGUUCAUUUUGGCCUACAUGCAUUUAUGUAAUAAAUGACUAUAUAUUCGGAUUUGUUGCGCUGUAAUAA